GAGCGCGCGCGUGUGCUCCUCCUCCUCCUUCGCGAGGCUCCAGCUCUAGCUCUAGCUCUGCCACGUAAUCUCGGUCGAGCCCCCGCUCACUCACUCACUCGAAACCUCCGGGAACCGUGACAGCGACUGCGGAACACUCAAACACACUGUACGAAACACCUCCGGGCGGUGCGCGCGGGUGUAGCGGAAUCACACACUGUGGCGGAGGGCAUCUGUUUGGUUUUCAUCUGGGAUCGCCGGUAACCCGCU